AGAACGAACGCUGGCGGCAGGCUUAACACAUACAAGUCGAACGCUCGUAGCAAUACGGGAGUGGCAGACGGGUGAGUAACGCGUGGGAACAUACCCUCCGGUUCGGAAUAGCUCAGGGAAACUUGGAUUAAUACCGGAUACGGCUGAGAGGCGAAAGAUUUAUCGCCGGAGGAUUGGCCCGCGUUCGAUUAGCUUGUUGGUGAGGUAACGGCUCACCAAGGCGAUGAUCGAUAGCUGGUCUGAGAGGAUGAUCAGCCACAUUGGGACUGAGACACGGCCCAAACUCCUACGGGAGGCAGCAGUGGGAAUAUUGGACAAUGGGCGCAAGCCUGAUCCAGCCAUGCCGCGUGAGUGAUGACGGCCUUAGGGUUGUAAAGCUCUUUCGCUCGGGACGAUAAUGACGGUACCGAGAUAAGAAGCCCGGCUAACUUCGCGCCAGCAGCCGC
rnacentral:rRNA from 1 species